UUACGGGAGGCAGCAGUAGGGAAUCUUGCGCAAUGGACGAAAGCCUGACGCAGCCAUGCCGCGUGAAUGAUGAAGGUCUUAGGAUUGUAAAAUUCUUUCACCGGGGACGAUAAUGACGGUACCCGGAGAAGAAGCCCCGGCUAACUUCGUGCCAGCAGCCGCGGUAAUACGAAGGGGGCUAGCGUUGCUCGGAAUUACUGGGCGUAAAGGGCGCGUAGGCGGAUAGUUUAGUCAGAGGUGAAAGCCCAGGGCUCAACCUUGGAAAUGCCUUUGAUACUGGCUAUCUUGAGUACGGGAGAGGUGAGUGGAACUCCGAGUGUAGAGGUGAAAUUCGUAGAUAUUCGGAAGAACACCAGUGGCGAAGGCGACUCACCGGCCCGUUACUGACGCUGAGGCGCGAAAGCGUGGGGAGCAAACAGGAUUAGAUACCCUUGUAC
rnacentral:rRNA from 1 species